CUAAACCCAUGCCAUCCUUUGACUUUUCUCUAACAUUUGCCAAAAAACUCGAACCUUCAAAUUGUUUGGAAAUAUCAUUAUAAAUGGCUUUCCCUAAAGUUGUCUUUCCUAUGCCUCCUUGCCCCCAUAAUCCCACCAUGAGAACAUCAUCUAUAGACUCGAGGUUCAACAUCGAUUUCAGUUUA